ensembl:lncRNA
UGAAGAUGCUGUGAUCUCUCUACAGCAAACUAGGAAUUAUAGAUUCUUUAAAGUAGCCACCCUUUGCCUUGAUGACAGCUUUGGCACACUCUUGGCAUUCUCUCAACCAGCUUCAUGAGGAAGUCACCUGGAAUGCAUUUUCAACAGUCUUGAAGGACUUCCCACAUAUGCUGAGAACUUGUUGGCUGAAAAGGAAAUGACAAGAUGAUAAAGACCAUAAAGAAAAACCCUUGAAUGAGUAGUGAUAGCGACUCCGACUGGGAGCCCCCGGUGCCAAGCUGCCUGCUCUACCUCUGCCCCCAGUGGUGUUCAUAUGCCACAGUUCAUUACUGCAGGCAUGACUGUGCCUCAGGUCCAAAAGGGCACAGCAUGGAGGCUUCGUUGUGUUCUGUGUCGCAUGAACUCCACCACUUGUUCAGUUUGCCCCUGCUUUACAUCAGAAAGAGACUGCUAUGGGACAUGUCACAUGCAGCAAAAUAUUGUGUCGAGGACUUCCAAAGGGUGUACUGUUUUUAAAAAAUAUUUAUUUCUAAUAUUUAAAAAAAAAUUGUGUGUGUGUGUGUUAGAAUUGCUUUUUGAUAUGUUGUAUAUAGUUAUUUGCACUGUUGUAUAUAGUUAUAGGUCAGUUCACCAAUUUGGCCACUUGGGUACACCUGGGUGACUUCAUGCUAAAUGUCAUGUAGCUCACCCAUUCCUGAAGUUAUCAGUCUGAAACAUUGCACACCUACAGUUGCCCUCUUGUGUUAUCCAUCAAAAUGAUCUCCAGCAUCCUAUCUGACUGUGUGGCUAUUCUAGUACAUGUGAAAGAUGAUGCUACAACAAUAAAAAACAGAAAACGUAUGCUCUUUCU